rnacentral:rRNA from 1 species
GACGAACGCUGGCGGCGUGCUUAACACAUGCAAGUCGAACGGAAAGGCCUCUUUCGGGGGGUACUCGAGUGGCGAACGGGUGAGUAACACGUGAGUAACCUGCCCUUGACUUUGUGAUAACUUCAGGAAACUGGGGCUAAUACCGGAUAGGAGCUCCUGCUGCAUGGUGGGGGUUGGAAAGUUUCGGCGGUUGGGGAUGGACUCGCGGCUUAUCAGCUUGUUGGUGGGGUAGUGGCUUACCAAGGCUUUGUCGGGUAGCCGGCCUGGGAGGGUGACCGGCCACAUUGGGACUGGGAUACGGCCCAGACUCCUACGGGAGGCAGCAGUGGGGAAUAUUGCACAAUGGGUGGGAGCCUGAUGCAGCAACGCCGUGGGCGGGAUGACGGGCUUCGGGUUGUAAACCGCUUUCGCUCAUGACGAAGCUUUGUGUGACGGUAGUGGGUAAAGAAGCACCGGCUAACUACGUG